rnacentral:lncRNA from 1 species
GGGGGAGCGAGGGUGUCCCCGGCCGGAAAGGCGUGAAGGGCCAGAAGGGAGAGCCAGGGCCGCCAGGCCUGGACCAGCCGUGCCCUGUGGGACAAGAUGGGCUGCCCGUGCCUGGCUGCUGGCAUAAGUGACCCUCCAGCCCAGCGCACAACCUGUACAGAUCCGUGUGAACCUUUUUAAUUCUUGUAAAAACAAAACAGUAAUAUAUUGAUCUUUCGUGGAACGCACCACUGUGGCCUGUAAACCUGGCCGGUGCCACCCAGCCCAGCGGGCAGCACGGGCAGCAUGCAGGACGGGGUGCACUUGUGGCACUGUGGGGCUCUGCUUGCCCAGGAAGGAGACGACGGUGACCGCACCUGCUCGGUUGGGUUUCCGGUCACCGGAUUAGCAGACUUGGCCCCCGCUGCCUUGCAAGAGCUGUCCCCAAAGCCAGGAGUCCCAGGACACACCGGAUCCAGCCAGACCCCCUUGGCCUGCUGCUCUGGCCUCUCCAGCCUCCAGACUUCGCCACAGCUGGCCGCCUGGACCCUGGCUCACCCAGGCAGGACACAACUCUGCCGGGUACUUGGCACUGGACCAGGGAGGCUCUGCAGAAAGCACCAGUGCUGGUCUGGCUCCCUCUGGAAACUGGGAGCAGGGCCCAAGACAGAGCCCGCUGUGGGGUGGUGGUCGCCGGGCAUCGGACAGAGAGCCCCAGGCUGCGCUGGCUACUUCACGUCCUCACAUCUCUCGGAGAGGGAUGGGGCACUGGGCUGCCUGAGGAGACGUCCCCCACCCAGGGCUGUGGGUCAGCCUGGCAGCACGGGGCCGCCAGUGAGGGGUGCAGUGGGGCGAGUGCAAGGCUGUCCGGCUCCUCUCCCCAUGUGUAACAGGUGUGCUCAGGUAAUAAACGCCACCGUGUGUGCUACGCCUGUCCUUGUGGGUGGCCCUGGCCACCUCAGGCACUGAGCGCUGGAGAGACAGGGACCCUCUUGUGUCAGAGCCACGCCAGAACCAGAGGAGGAAGCACGGGACUGGGGCCCAGACGGGGCAGUUAGGAAGACAGCUCCACACCUGGGCCUGCCACAGUCCGCAGAGACCUUUGGCCUGUUGCUCCAGGUCACUGAGCUGCUCUUGGCCUCCUGCACUCUGGUUGCCAGUGAAUGCUGCGUGCAGAUCACCCCAAAGCUUGCGACCUUAAAAUAUGGCCAAGGGUGAUGGUUCGCACCUAUAAUUCCAGGACUCAGGAGGCUGAGGCAGGAGGAUCCACACGAGUUCGAGGGCAGCCUGGGCUACAGACUGGUGGCCGAUGGUGCCCGUCCACUAGGAGCAGGACAGCCAGAACACCCCUUGGGUUCUUCCUCACUUCGUGGUGGCUGGAUUCUGAGGGUAAACAAAUCAGGUGGGUCCGGGGAAGCUGUCAGCGGUGACCAAGCCUGCAAAGUCGUAUGGGUCCCUUCCUGACAGUCAGAGGUUCGGCCCAACCCGAGGAGGAGGCAGAUGCCCCUCUCGAAGCACAUUUGGGGAGAAAAGGCAUAGAAAAGCUGCUCGACCAGCCCAGGGGCCACCAGAGGAGCCGGAACGGGGAAAAGCAAGGAGCCACAGGCGGGCUGAGCCAGCAGGAGAAAUGGCCCCAGUGCACGCCUCCUACGCGGCCCAUUCCGGUUCGCUCGUGGCCUCCCCGCCCCUCGGGAAGCCCCCACCCCCCUCGAAGCUCCGCGGGGACCGAGGCUCGGGGCGGGCACCCGGAUGGGGCGGCAGCGAGGGCCUGCAGCCUGGCAAAGGCUGGGCUCUGGCCUGUCCUUUCGAAUCGUUUGGCAGGGGGGUGACCGGGUCUGGCAGGCAGAUCUUGGAGGGGUCGAAGCCUCGCGCGCUCCUCCGCCUCAGGUUCCACUUGGCCCGUUGUGCCCCCUCGUGGCUGCAGACCAACCUGCAGCGCCAGGGCGGUUGGUCGGAUGAGGCUGUGGGAGAUGUCCCAGGGCCCAGGGGGAUAACCUCCCUGCCCGCAGCUGAGCUUCAAGGGCGGGGGCGCUGGGCCCCUCACUACCCUUCCGAAGGGAGAGCGGCACAUUUACCGCGUCUUGCUGUGUGCUGUGACAUCUAAACUAAUGGCCAGGACCACAGUCCCCCCCUUUUUCAGUACUGAGAUUGCACCCAGGGCCUUCACACUGGGCUGCAUUCCCACCCCUUUAAAAUUUUUUUUUAAAAUUUUGGGAUAGAGUCCCGGUAAGUUGCCCAAGCAAGGCUCAACCUUUUGAUCCUCCUGCCUCGGCCUCCCAGAUUGCUGAGUUACAGGCCUGUGCCACCACACCCAGCGCAUGCUGCCCUUUCACAGGAGCCUGAGGCCGGAAAGGUCAGCUCACUCAGGCUCCUUCCCCUAUCCCUAAGACACUGCAGGAAGCACAGGGGUGCUCUAGGUUGUCUUAGUGACGAGGUCACGCCGGGCGUCCUGUGGGCAGGGCCAGGGAGGCAGCCCAGGAGAAACGCCAGGAGAAACGCCCCGCUCGGCCCAGCGGCGCCUCGCCCUCCCCCGCAGGGGGCUGCGGUGCUGCCACCAGGCCGGGUGGGAGUUUAGGCGCAGCAGCCCUGGAGGUGCGGCCCAGCGGGCACUGCCGGGCGAGAAGCCGGCGCGCUGAGCAGACCCCGGCCCGUCACACGCACAGAGGUACACGCAGCCGCUCCCCCAGGGUCGUGUAAAACGUUGGCUCAGCUGAUACUACAGAUCACGAGACCCACUCCAUUUGGAAAGACGCAAAAAUCCUGCGGCCGGUCGCACGCCAAUGGGAUGUACUUGACGCCACAGAACCGUGCCUUUGCGAUGGUUAGCGCUCCAUGCUGUGUAUAUUUUACCACAAUAAAGAACGCGAGGCUCUGAGAAUGCGCCUUAAGUGCCUUAAGCGUGUUCGCCUGGGGAGAAGCCGCGCCCAGAGGGUGGCUCCGCUCCCGCGCCAAGCAGAACCCCGCUCCGAGCCCCGGGCCUGGGGCGCCCUUGCUCUCCGUCCGCACGGCACGGGUCUCGGUGUCUCUGGACCUAGCAGGAGCCGGGUGCCCUGAAGGUCCGGCCCGGCUCGCCUCGUCGGCCCGCGCCCUCCGCCCUGCGUGCUGCUCCAGCCGGAGCCCGAGCUCUUCCUGUCAGGCCGGCGCCAGGCGGCGCUUCCCGCUCAGCGUCACGGGCGAGCCCGAGUCAUCCGGGCCGGGGCA